rnacentral:rRNA from 1 species
GAUAAACGCUAGCGGCAGGCUUAACACAUGCAAGUCGAGGGGCAGCAUAGAUUGUAGCAAUACAAUUGGUGGCGACCGGCGCACGGGUGCGUAACGCGUAUGCAACCUACCCGUCACAGGGGGAUAAUCCGGAGAAAUCUGGUCUAAUACCCCAUAACAUAUGGAUCGGCAUCGGUUCAUGUUGAAAUUUUCGGAGGUGACGGAUGGGCAUGCGUAGCAUUAGCUUGUUGGUGAGGUAACGGCUCACCAAGGCGACGAUGCUUAGGGGGACUGACAGGUUUUCCGCCCACACUGGUACCGUGACACGGACCGGACUCCUACGGGAGGAAGCAGUGAGGAAUAUUGGUCAAUGGGCGCAAGCCUGAACCAGCCAUGCCGCGUGCAGGAUGACGGCUCUGUGAGUUGUAAACUGCUUUUGUACGAGGGUAAAGUGGGUUACGUGUAACCUUUUGAAAGUAUCGUACGAAUAAGGAUCGGCUAACUCCGUGCCAGCCGCCGCCGUAA